rnacentral:antisense_RNA from 1 species
UUUGAUCGACCCCAACCACAGCGGCCGGUUCGCCGGGCGGCCCUGCCCGUAGGUGGCGACGAGAGCAUCGGCCUC